AUUAUAAGUGGGGACAUCAGAUAAAUUUGGAUCGAGACAAAGAAGAUUAGCAUAGCCUUUGCCCAAGGAUGACACGUACAAAUCGAGAAGCCUUGCUUGUGUCU